rnacentral:rRNA from 1 species
AGAGUUUGAUCAUGGCUCAGGAUGAACGCUAACUACAGGCUUAACACAUGCAAGUCGAGGGGAAACGACAUCGAAAGCUUGCUUUUGAUGGGCGUCGACCGGCGCACGGGUGAGUAACGCGUAUCCAACCUGCCCACCACUUGGGGAUAACCUUGCGAAAGUAAGACUAAUACCCAAUGACGUCUCUAGAAGACAUCUGAAGGAGAUUAAAGAUUUAUCGGUGAUGGGUGGGGAUGCGUCUGAUUAGCUUGUUGGCGGGGUAACGGCCACCAAGGCGACGAUCAGUAGGGGUUCUGAGAGGAAGGUCCCCCCANAUUGGAACUGAGACACGGUCCAAACUCCUACGGGAGGCA